CGGUCCAUGGCCUGUUAGCAGCCAGGCCGCACAGCAGGAGGUGAGUGGCAGGCCAGCAAGCAUAACCGCCUGAGCUCCGCCUCCUGCGAGAUCCACAGCAGCAUGAGAUUCUCACAGGAGCUCAAACCCUGUUGUGAACGGCACAUGUGAGGGAUCUAGGCUCCUUAUGAGAAUCUAAUGCCUGAUGAUCUGUCACUGUCUCCCAUCACCCUCAGAUGGGACUGUCUAGUUGCAGGAAAACAAGCUCAGAGCUCCCACUGAUUCUACAUUAUGGAUGCAAAGAAGAUGCUGCUCUCCAUGCUCUGCAGGUGAGGACCCCCAGGCUCAGAAUUUGACUUGAACUCAGGCUGUAAAAAUCGCCUAGACUCUGGACUGCUUCUCAUGCUGGUGACUGCAUCCGAGCUUUUCCAUCACUGCUCUGCGUUUUCUCUAAAAUCCAGUCCAUGUACUCAGCGACUUUGGUGUAGACACCAGGUUGCUCCCUGCGGGCACAGCCUUCACCCCAGCUGGUGAUGCCCACCAAACGCCACAUUCCGUUGUGUUUGCAAACUAAGGGACCACCUGAAUCUCCCUGAGCCACAGUGGAAAAAUAAAAUAGUAGAAAGUUACGACAAUGGGAUUCAAAUAAGUGACUGCCUCUAAAGUUCUGUAGUCCACCACACAGCGACACACACACACAGAUUCUUUCGUAUUUUUUUGUAGAGAUGGGUUUCAUCACAUUGCCCAGACUGGUCUCAAAUUCCUAGGCUCAAGUGAUCCACCUGCAUUGGCCUCCCAAAGUGCUGUGUGUGUGCAAGACCUUGCUUGCCAGACACACACACGCACACACACUCACUCUUUCUUAAAGUUCUCCAAGUAUCUCAUGUGCCUGCAUUUUUCGUAUCCCCUUUUCUAUCUGAAAUAAAUCUAACAAAGAAAUCUUGAUAUCAUCAUCCCAAUGACAAAGAAGUCUAAUGUUUUUAUAUUCUAGCACAAUUAUUGCAUGUAUAUUUGCCCCUCUUAAAUAGCACAUGCAUAGAUUGUGACAUAUAUCAUAAAUAAUAUAAAUAUGUAUUAUGUAUAUUCAAUUUGUUAAAAGUUGCUUAUCAAUUUAUCAGAUCAUUUGUCUCUGAAUUUUUAAAAAAACUAUGAUAAAUUAUGCUAUUGGAAAAUAUAUUUUGAAAUGAAUUUUCUCAAGCAGCCUAUUGUGUUUUUCAUAAUCUCAUGAGUUACCUUACAAGCAUCUUUUCCCCCUUCUUUAUAGCCAGCACAGACCAUCCGUUGGGUUAUUUUAUAAUCUUGAUAUCUUUUCUGGCAUUCUUCAUUUGUUACCAAAGGAAUAUUUACCUUUUGUAGAAUAUUUUGGAUUUCAC
rnacentral:lncRNA from 1 species